GGAAACAGGGAGUGCCCUUCGGGAACCCGGUGACAGGUGCUGCAUGGCUGUCGUCAGCUCGUGUCGUGAGAUGUUGGGUUAAGUCCCGCAACGAGCGCAAUCCCUGUUAUCAGUUGCCAUCGGGUAGAGCCGGGGACUCUGAUAAGACUGCCUGCGCAAGCAGAGAGGAAGGAGGGGACGACGUCAAGUCAUCAUGGCCCUUACGCCCAGGGCGACACACGUGCUACAAUGGCGCAUACAGCGGGUAGCUACCUGGCAACAGGAUGCCAACCUCUAAAAGUGCGUCUCAGUUCGGAUUGGGGUCUGCAACCCGACCCCAUGAAGCUGGAAUCGCUAGUAAUCGCGCAUCAGCCAUGGCGCGGUGAAUACGUUCCCGGACCUU
rnacentral:rRNA from 1 species